rnacentral:rRNA from 1 species
AUUGAACGCUGGCGGCAUGCUUUACACAUGCAAGUCGAACGGUAACAGGCCGCAAGGUGCUGACGAGUGGCGAACGGGUGAGUAAUGCAUCGGAACGUGCCCAGUCGUGGGGGAUAACGCAGCGAAAGCUGUGCUAAUACCGCAUACGAUCUAUGGAUGAAAGCGGGGGACCGUAAGGCCUCGCGCGAUUGGAGCGGCCGAUGUCAGAUUAGGUAGUUGGUGGGGUAAAGGCCUACCAAGCCGACGAUCUGUAGCUGGUCUGAGAGGACGACCAGCCACACUGGGACUGAGACACGGCCCAGACUCCUACGGGAGGCAGCAGUGGGGAAUUUUGGACAAUGGGCGCAAGCCUGAUCCAGCAAUGCCGCGUGCAGGAAGAAGGCCUUCGGGUUGUAAACUGCUUUUGUACGGAACGAAACGGUCUGGGUUAAUACCCUGGGCUAAUGACGGUACCGUAAGAAUAAGCACCGGCUAACUACGUGCCAGCAGCCGCCGUAA